rnacentral:miRNA from 1 species
GCUGACACAUCCCUGCCAAUCUCCGGCAGACCCUCCCUCCAAGACCCUCCCACCUCCUGGACAGCAUCCAUGUUGAAGCUGCCUUCAACAUGGAUGCUGUCCAGGAAGUAGGAGGGUCUGGGAGGGAGAGUCUGCCGGAGAUUGGCAGGGAUGUGACAG